rnacentral:rRNA from 1 species
UUCUGCUGAUCUUGUCUACAGCUCAGAGCAGGGUUAAGGCUCAUUAGCACUUGGAUAGGAGACUGCCUGGGAAUACAAGCUUCUGUAGAAU